CCCUUAGACGUUCUGGGCCGCACGCGCGCUACACUGACCAGUGCAACAAGCAUCCGUCCUUGGCCGACAGGCCCGGGCAAUCUUUGAACGCUGGUCGUGAUGGGGAUAGACUUUUGCAAUUUUUGGUCUUCAACGAGGAAUUCCUAGUAAACGCAAGUCAUCAACUUGCAUUGAUUACGUCCCUGCCCUUUGUACCCACCGCCCGUCGCACCUACCGAUUGAAUGGUCCGGUGAAGCCUCCGGAUUGGCGCGCACCUCGGUGCCGCCGAGAAGUUGGCUAAACCUUACCAUUUAGAGGAAGGUGAAGUCGUAACA
rnacentral:rRNA from 1 species